GAUGAACGCUGACAGAAUGCUUAACACAUGCAAGUCAACUUGAAUUUGGGUUUUUUAACUUAGAUUUGGGUGGCGGACGGGUGAGUAACGCGUAAAGAACUUGCCUCACAGCUAGGGACAACAUUUGGAAACGAAUGCUAAUACCUGAUAUUAUGAUUAUAAGGCAUCUUAGAAUUAUGAAAGCUAUAUGCGCUGUGAGAGAGCUUUGCGUCCCAUUAGCUAGUUGGAGAGGUAACGGCUCACCAAGGCGAUGAUGGGUAGCCGGCCUGAGAGGGUGAACGGCCACAAGGGGACUGAGACACGGCCCUUUCUCCUACGGGAGGCAGCAGUGGGGAAUAUUGGACAAUGGACCAAGAGUCUGAUCCAGCAAUUCUGUGUGCACGAUGACGUUUUUCGGAAUGUAAAGUGCUUUCAGUUGGGAAGAAAAAAAUGACGGUACCAACAGAAGAAGUGACGGCUAAAUACGUG
rnacentral:rRNA from 1 species